CAACAAUCUAAGCAUAAAUAUAAUUUCUUAAAAUUUAACAGUUAAAUUGAGUAAAACUAUAUAACAAAUAAUAAUGCUACAAGAGCAUUUAGAAUUCUAAUCCCAUUCUAUUUGCUCUAUGAUUUAUACGUUAGAUCUAAUACUGAAUUCGGAUUGGAUCGCAUCGGAUCUGAAUUUAGUAAACCCAGACCCUACCAAAAAAUUGAACGGAUCUAAUUUUAGAACCUGAUCCGACUUGAUGGAUCCUUUAAAAUGAAUUGGAUUAGGUCUAAGUGAGUCGGGCC
rnacentral:lncRNA from 1 species